rnacentral:rRNA from 1 species
GUGGGGUAACGGCCUACCAAGGCGAUGAUGGGUAGCUGGUCUGAGAGGACGAUCAGCCACACUGGAACUGAGACACGGUCCAGACUCCUACGGGAGGCAGCAGUGGGGAAUAUUGCGCAAUGGGCGAAAGCCUGACGCAGCAACGCCGCGUGGGGGAUGAAGGUUCUCGGAUUGUAAACCCCUUUCGAUCGGAACGAAUCCCCUCCUGGUGAACAAUCAGGAGGGUCGACGGUACCGAGAGAAGAAGCCACGGCUAACUCUGUGCCAGCAGCCGCGGUAAGACAGAGGUGGCUAGCGUUGUUCGGAUUUAUUGGGCGUAAAGCGCACGCAGGCGGUUUGGUAAGUCAGAGGUGAAAUUCCGCAGCUUAACUGCGGAACUGCCUUUGAUACUGCCUUUCUCGAGUGCAUGAGGGGGAAGCGGAAUUCCGAGUGUAGAGGUGAAAUCCGUAGAUAUUCGGAGGAACACCGGUGGCGAAGGCGGCUUCCUGGCAUGUAACUGACGCUCAGGUGCGAAAGCGUGGGGAGCAAACAGGAUUAGAUACCCUGGUAGUCCACGCCCUAAACGAUGGGCACUAGGUGUGGGAGGUAUCGACCCCUUCCGUGCCGC